rnacentral:lncRNA from 1 species
AAUAAGGGAGUUAGUGGAGCUGAUACCAGUUCAAGUCACAAACUGGUGAGUUGAGACCUGAUUACAAUAACUUAGAAUCUAUUUUUACUAGUCAAAUCUGAUUUUCCAGUUUUAUAGACAAAUGUGGCAGACAAAGGCGUGGCAGACAAAGGUGUAGUUAGACAAACUGGUGUAGUCAUGAGAAAUCGUGUAAUAAGAGAAUGAGUCCCACCUGGUGUUGGCUAUUUCAUUUCCCCAAAUACCGACAACACUUAUAUUUUAGUAAGUAUAUGUGAAUGAUUAUUAGUUUUUAUUCUUGUUUCAGUACAUUUCAUUAAUUAGUUUGUCAACCAACUGUUGUAUAUGUACACUUAUUGUGUUAAGUUAUGGUGUACACUGUUGUAUAUAGAGCAUACCUGGGAGAUGUUACUUAGCUGGAUCUGGCCCAAGGACUGCACCUGCACACCAUCAACCAAGGCCAAAGACAACUGCACCUAAGGCCACAACAAAAAUGAUGUCUGGUGCUAUGAGAGCGGCAAUUGCACUUACUGGAGAGAUUGAAAUAGAGGAUCGUGAGAUGGAUCAAGCUUUGUAUAACAACUUCAAGGAGACUAGAGGGGGAAGAAGAAUAGAGGGUGAGGGUCAGUCGAGUGGAACAACUAACAAGACUGGUGGUAAUCAAGAAAGUGUGAACAAGGAGUAGAAUAAGUUGAUCUAUUAAUAUAUAUUAUCAUUUUGUGUGAACAGUUAAUUAGUGGUUUUUGGGGUUUGUAUUAUGUCAAACACAAAAAUGAUACAGUAAGGUUUAUUUGGUGUACUAGCCUGGAUGGUUUAUUUGGUGUAGUGUAUGUACUGGCCUGG